AUGUCGAAACUAGGGGUUGAUACCCUAUUAUAAAAAUGUGUUUAAAAAUAUUUAGAUUAGUAGUAAAUAUAUUUAUGAAAUUAAAAUAAUUUGGUGGUAUUUUAGUCUAUUCAGAGGAAUUUGUUUUAUAAUCGAUAAUCCCCGAUGAAUCUAACUUAUAAUUAUUUAAUUUGUAUAUCGUUGUCAUUAGAAUAUUUUAUAAGAAUAAUAAUUUUCUGAAAAAUAAUAAUUAAUUUU
rnacentral:rRNA from 1 species